GUACACGCUGUGACUAGCAUAUCAAUAAGCGGAGGAAAAGAAACUAACAAGGAUUCCCUCAGUAACGGCGAGUGAAGCGGGAAGAGCUCAAAUUUGAAAUCUUGAAAGGUCACCUUUCACGAAUUGUAGUUUAAAGAAGUGUUUUCUGUUACGAUCGUAAUAUAAGUUCUUUGGAAUAGGACAUCACAGAGGGUGAGAAUCCCGUCUAUGAUUGCGAUUUGUAGCUUUGUGAUACACUUUCAAAGAGUCGGGUUGUUUGGGAAUGCAGCCCAAAACGGGAGGUAAAUUUCUUCUAAGGCUAAAUAUUGGCGAGAGACCGAUAGCGAACAAGUACCGUGAGGGAAAGAUGAAAAGAACUUUGAAAAGAGAGUUAAAUAGUACGUGAAAUUGUCAAAAGGGAAGCGUUUAACACCAGUGUUGUUUUCUGAAAAUCAACCUCUGUUAGCUUUAUGCAUGUUUGUUUAGACCUAAUCAGCUAUCUUUCAUGUUCUAUUGUUUGCAGUGGUGCACUUUUCAGUUUACAGGUCAACAUCAGUUUUUUUUACCGUAAAAAAGUUAAAGAAAGGUAGCUCAUGGCUCCGGUCGUGAGUGUUAUAGUCUUUUUCCUAUGCGGUAGGAGAGACUGAGGUCUGCAGUGUAGGCUAUUUGGCUAGAUACUCAGGUGCUAUGUGAUACCAUUUCAUAAACAACUUGUUGAUUAUGUUUUGUCUAUUGCAUACUCGCUUGUACUAUCAUACCUACGCUUAGGAUGUUGAAUAGCGACAUACGCAC
rnacentral:rRNA from 1 species